CAGGGGGGAGCUUACUGCCCUGGACCAGGGACUUUGAGAAGGCUGAAAUAGCCACAUGGGGGUGGUGGAAGCUCUGGUGCUAAACCCAGAGAUAGGCAAGGUGCUAGAGGUAGGUAGGAAGGAGCCCAGGGGGUCUGAGACUGAGCAAACCUAGCUUAAUAGCAAACCUAUUCAGAGGACCCCUGGGCUGGAACCCACAGUAGCAGGAGGACGUGGGUUCCCCUACCAGCCUGGCAAAGUGACACAGGACCUGGAGCUGUAACAGAGGACUGCCAGAGAUGGCAUAUGGACAGCUCGUUCACACCUUGUAUCUGAGGAUCUUAAAGCACUUCACUCUGCCCUAACACCCUAUGCCGGGGUGGGCAAACUUUUUGGCCCGAGGGCCACAUCUAGAAAGGAAGCGUACCAUGCAAUUUCCUGUUUUCUUUCCUACAAACUGUAUCUUCAAAUGCUACUAUGGCAUGAAAUAAAAGCAGAGAUAGAAGGUGAAGCAUGGUCAGAGAUUUCAGAAGAGAUUUUAAACAAGGAUCUGAUGAGGCAGAGAGAGACACAGAGGUCGCUGCAGAUGACAGGAGCUGCGGAGGAGAAGGAUCUUGCAUCACAACUGUGAGACAGUAUGAAGGGACAUCAAGGAGGCUGCCAGUCAGUACUAGAUAAGAAGAGGGAGCAGAGACAGGACAAGAAGGAAACUGGGGAUGCUAUUCACCAUUACCUUUCACCGCUGGUAACCACACCAGUACAAACUAAGUGCAAAGUGGGUGUGGAAUGGUGCAGUUCUGGAAUCAGAUCCUCAGCUGGUGUAAAUCAGCACAUCAU